ACAGAGAUAGAAUACCUGUUCGAUGUGACGGUCACGGCAUGACGACGACGUUCGACCCUGGUAGUCAGACUAUCCGACGCAAGCGGCGAGUGACUGACGCCUCACUUCCGACUCUCCUUCCCUUACAUCGCUUGGACACGAGAUGCCUACAGUGUUUUAGAGUUGUCAAUAUUAAAUGUCUUCUUCAUAAAAGUACAAAAUAUGUAAACAACUGUUGCAGAGUAUGCAGUCUUCACUUUUCCUGCAAGAACUAUGUGACUCCGGAUUCCUCAAGACUCAAUAAAAAUGCAUGUCCAGAUCAAAAUCUUGCAGGUAAUCCAAAUGAUACAUCUGCAGCACCAGCAAUAACAUACAACUCUGAGUGCAGUACUGCAACAUUUGAAAGCAUUUUUGAAAAAUCUGGCACAGGUACAGUUCAGUGCACAUUUCCAUUUUUACUUCUUUAAUAUUGCUUUUAAAGGAGUAAAAUGUCAGUAGAUUAUAAAAACCUUCAAGUGUUAUGCUGUAAUUUGAUUAGCAUAUACAGUAUUACUAGUGCCUGUUCUAAGUGAAAGUGUUUCAUGUGAUUUUGUUUAAUAAUUACUCAAGCCCAAAAACAGGAAAAUAAUUACUGUAUACUAUAUUGGUGAAAUAAUAAGAUAAUAU